rnacentral:rRNA from 1 species
UACAGAGGGUGCAAGCGUUGUUCGGAAUUAUUGGGCGUAAAGGGCGCGUAGGCGGUGCGGUAAGUCUGUAGUGAAAUCUCUGGGCUCAACUCAGAGUCUGCUGCAGAAACUGCCGUGCUUGAGGCCGGGAGGGGGGUAGCGGAAUUCCCAGUGUAGCGGUGAAAUGCGUAGAUAUUGGGAGGAACACCAGUGGCGAAGGCGGCUACCUGGACCGGUUCUGACGCUGAUGCGCGAAAGCGUGGGGAGCAAACAGG